GAAAAGUGGAUACUGUACAAUCAAGUGGGGCUAUGAAAAGUGGAUACUGUACAAUCAUAUGGAACAGAAGAGAUCAUAGGGCAGGUGAAAUGAACCACUACCAACCACACCAAAGACUGGUCUUCAUCCAAAGAAGGAGGAAAACUAAAACCCUAAGAGAUGUGGUUGCUGUCCCAGUUCACAGCACAAGGUGGAUUCUUUGCCGUCUGAGCCACCAGGGAAGCCCAAUUAAAAGAUGUGGUACUGGUUCAUAGACAUAUAAACCAAUGGAACACACUAAAUCCAAGUGUAUAUAGAAAUUCAGUAUAUGACAAAGGCAUCUCUGGUAAGUAGGGAAAAAGUAGCAUAAUUUAAUAUAUGAUCUUGUGACAGCUUGUCAGUCAUCUGAAAAAUAAUAGUUAAAUGUAAAAAAAAGAAACCUUAAACAUUCUAUAGAAAAAAAAAUAGUGAAUGCUUUUAGAACCUUGGUGUGAAGAGGACUUUUUGAGUAUAACACAAAAUAUGGAGGACAUGAAAAGACUGGUAAAUCAAAAUAUGUAAAAAUAAAUUCUGUAUGGUGAGACCAUCAAGAAGGCCAAAAGAAAAAAAAUGGUGAAAAUAUUGGCAUUCCUAUAUUAUAUAUAGAGUAACCUCCUUAAUAUCUAAGAACUCUUCAAUGAUACAAAAAGACCAACUUGAUUGAAAACUAGUCCAAAGAUAUACACAGAGCUUAUACAGCAAAAGAAAUAAAAAGAACCCAAAGAUAUAGCUCUUGUCUUUGCUACCCUUUGUUAUACAUUCUCUCCGUUGAUUAUUAAGUUAAUACUAAGAAAAUAUUCUAUGUCACUCUGAUUAAGAAAUACAAAUAUAU